AAGCUGUAUGUGAAAAUUGGAGGGAAUUAAACAAAUUAAAAUUCAUUUUUGUUUCUGUUUAAUUUCCUCCAAUAUUUUACGUCCACCUU
rfam:Citrus sinensis cultivar Ridge Pineapple sweet orange scaffold00266_contig_26, whole genome shotgun sequence.